rnacentral:lncRNA from 1 species
AUGGAAGUUCCCAGGCUGGGGUCGAAUCGGAGCUACAGCUACUGGCCUACACCACAACCACAGCAAUGCCAGAUCUGAGCUGCAUCUGUGACCUACACCACAUCUCAUGGCAAUGGUGAACCCUCAUCCUCAUGGUUCCCAGUCGGAUUUGUUAACCACUGCACCACGGCGGGAACUCCUUUUUUUUUCUUUUGAAUUUGUUGACCCCACAUUUCUCAGAAGCUUCCGUUUACUAAAUUUUCAACAAGCUCACAAACCUACCAGAUUUGCUUCCCAAAAUUCCAAGCUCUGGUUUUCUUUGAGAACAAGGCAAACUGUCUGGAUACACACUUAAAGUUAUAAACAUAGAGGGCACAAAGUCUGAGAGCUUCCAACACUUGGCUCAUCAGAAACACUAGAGAAAGAGAAGAAGGGAGGGAAGGGGUGUGUGUGUGUGUGUGUGUGUGUGUGAAGGACGUAAAUAUUCGUGUGAUUUCUCUUUCAUGCUAGAAAGCAUCUGGGAUUUGGUACAAGGCUUGAGGCUUGAGAUUGGAGUUGUGUUCUGAAGAAACGAGGGGGACUUGAGAGGGCUGAAAGAGGUAGCACGAUGAAUCUCAAUGUGACAUGUAAACAAAGGAAAUGAGUAAUUGAAAAUAUCCUGUCUGUGUAUUCAUUUUCUGCAUACACGGACAAAGGCCAGGGUAUGAAACAAAUAGUUUCGGCCUUACUGUUACUUUGCUCUAUUAAAAAAAAAAAAAAGUAACAUAGAAGUAUUUCCAUAAAUUUCAUAAAAUUCUAUUCAAGAAGGAAAAAUACCAUACUGUUUUUGUCCACAUUGGAAAAUUCCUUUUCAAAUAGUUUGGGUAAAUUAUUGGGAGACGUGUCAGAGGAUUAAGCUUUCCUGGUUAAACCUAGAAAGUAAAACCUCAUAAAAUGAUGCCUUUGGAGCAGAUUUUGGAGUCAAACAGUUCGAGACAAAUAUUUCAGUGUCCCAUUAUAAGAAUGAUUUCUUGACUUUUAGGCUUGAGGUUUUCCUUUUCUGGGAGAACUGCCCACAUCGGCCUUCUCCUGCCCUUCCCCAGGAUGUGCAGACACAGUGAACUAAGCUCUUCCUGCUAUAAAAAAGACUGUCCAGAGCAAGACUGCCCAUCAGAAAUAGAGCGCCCACUAUGAGUAUAAUUUUCAAUGUUUUAGUAGCCACAUUUAAAAAAGUAAACACAGGAAUUCCCUGGUGGUGCAGUGGGUUGGGGAUCUGGCAUUGUCACUGCUGUGGCAUGGGUUCAGUCCCUGGCCCAGGAUCUUCCACAUGCUGUAGGUGUGGUCAAAAAAAGUAAAAGUAAAUAGAUGAAAUUAACUUUAUUUAUAUAUUUUAUUUAACUCAAUAUAUCCAAAAUACUAUUAAGUUAACAUGUUGAAAGCAGCUCUCUGGCCCCUUUCCUGUUUGGCUUCUUCUGUUCCCCUCUAACCUUUAAAGAACCUAAUUAACCUGUUGAUUCUUUUCCUAGAUAAAAAGAAGCAAGAAUAAAGAAUUAAGCAGUAUAAAAAUGACUAGCUCUCUUCCCCCAGCAUCUCCCUUAGCAAUCCUGCAGGCAGAUCAUGGAGGUAAGGUAAACUGUAGAGUCAACCGGUCUACAUGCAACAAGUAAAGUGGCAAAUUUAAUAAUGUAUCUAAAAGAUGCACAGCCAUAUAUAUGUCUAAUUCUACCUUAACUUUUUUCAACCUUUUCUGU